UAAAUGUAAGGAAUAUGACUUACAGAUAGCACUUGCAACUUAAUGAUUUUUUGUUUGAAAUGUUAAGAGG
rnacentral:tRNA from 1 species